rnacentral:rRNA from 1 species
AUUGAACGCUGGCGGCAGGCCUAACACAUGCAAGUCGAACGAGCGGCGGACGGGUGAGUAAUGUCUGGGAAACUGCCUGAUGGAGGGGGAUAACUACUGGAAACGGUAGCUAAUACCGCAUACCAUCGGAUGUGCCCAGAUGGGAUUAGCUGGUAGGUGGGGUAAAGGCUCACCUAGGCGACGAUCCCUAGCUGGUCUGAGAGGAUGACCACCCACACUGGAACGGAGACACGGUCCAGACUCCUACGGGAGGCAGCAGUGGGGAAUAUUGCACAAUGGGCGCAAGCCUGAUGCAGCCAUGCCGCGUGUGUGAAGAAGGCCUUCGGGUUGUAAAGCACUGUCAGCGAGGAGGCGUUACUCGCAGAAGAAGCACCGGCUAACGCCGUGCCAGCAGCCGCGGUAAUAC